rnacentral:rRNA from 1 species
UACAGAGGGGGCAAGCGUUAUUCGGAAUUAUUGGGCGUAAAGGGCGCGUAGGCGGCCUUUCAAGUGACGGGUGAAAGCCCUCGGCUUAACCGAGGAACUGCCUGUCAGACUGGAAGGCUUGAGACCGGGAGAGGUGAGUGGAAUUCCCAGUGUAGCGGUGAAAUGCGUAGAUAUUGGGAGGAACACCAGUGGCGAAGGCGGCUCACUGGACCGGUACUGACGCUGAGGCGCGAAAGCGUGGGGAGCAACAGG